rnacentral:rRNA from 1 species
GUGGGGAAUAUUGGGCAAUGGGCGAAAGCCUGACCCAGCGACGCCGCGUGGGGGAAGAAGUCCCUCGGGAUGUAAACCCUUGUUGUACGGGACGAAGGAAGUGACGGUACCGUACGAGGAAGCCCCGGCAAACUACGUGCCAGCAGCCGCGGUAAUACGUAGGGGGCGAGCGUUGUCCGGAAUCACUGGGCGUAAAGCGCACGUAGGCGGGCUGUUAAGUCGGCCGUGAAAGGCACUGGCUCAACCUGUGCAUGUCGGUCGAUACUGGCGGUCUGGAGUAUGGGAGAGGGAACUGGAAUUCCCAGUGUAGCGGUGAAAUGCGUAGAUAUUGGGAGGAACACCAGUGGCGAAGGCGCCUUUCUGGACUGUGUCUGACGCUGAGAUGCGAAAGCCAGGGUAGCGAACGGGAUUAGAAACCCGGGUAGUCC